AACGAACGCUGGCGGCAGGCCUAACACAUGCAAGUCGAGCGAAGCGCAAGCUUAGCGGCGGACGGGUUAAUAACGCGUGGGAACGUGCCCUUCUCUACGGAAUAGUCCCGGGAAACUGGGGGUAAUACCGUAUACGCCCGAUAGGGGAAAGAUUUAUCGGAGAAGGAUCGGCCCGCGUUGGAUUAGGUAGUUGGUGGGGUAAUGGCCUACCAAGCCGACGAUCCAUAGCUGGUUUGGGAGGAUGAUCAGCAACACUGGGACUGAGACACGGCCCAGACUCCUACGGGAGGCAGCAGUGGGGAAUCUUAGACAAUGGGCGCAAGCCUGAUCUAGCCAUGCCGCGUGGACGAUGAAGGCCUUAGGGUUGUAAAGUCCUUUCGCUGGGGAAGAUAAUGACGGUACCCAGUAAAGAAGCCCCGGCUAACUUCGUGCCAGCCGCCGCCGUAAAAC
rnacentral:rRNA from 1 species